CCGGCCGACUGCGCUUUCGCAUCCUUCCCCUUUAGUCCGCCUCAUCCGAACCUUGCUCUCAGGGCGCGUUCCACUUAACGACCGCAACGCUAACGAGCAUCAUGUGUCUUUGUUUAACUUUCGGUGAACAAGGAUAAAAUGAUACCGUGAGCGCUGCGGUCCUUAAGUGGAACGCGCCCUCAUUCCCUUUCCUCUCCCAAAGCCCGUGCCAUCCCCCUCCUCAAGGAACUCUUGUCUCGACUCAACCUCUCAGUCUCAAAUCUCCGACCUUCUCUCACAUCUAUCCUACUCAUUCUCCCAAUCUAUAUCCUCAAACUCCUAAUCCACCCCCGCCCUCCCAGACGCCUAUCCCAGCCGGGAGCGUCCCGUCUGACCACGUUGAUAUUGACCACGUUGAUAUUGACCACGGUCCCGAUUGACCACAGUCCCGAUUGACCACGUUGAUAUUUAAAACAUCGAAAUCAUCCGUGUAAUCGAAUUACGAACCACAGAACGCUCCAUCAAAUCCAACACAUGGCUCAAUACAUGGUCAAGUGCAUGAUGCAUCUAUGAAAGAGAAAAGAAAUGAUACAAAUAAAGUUAAUGAUGAUAAUGAUGAUGAUAAUGCUACCGAUUCUCUGGAAAAAAAUUAUUUAAGAGGUAAUAAAAAGGAGGUGAUAAAAAGAAAAAGAAAAUUUUCUUCCUCCUCAGAAGAAGAAUUUUCCUCCACGCCUCGUCACAACAGGACAAAAAUUAACAAUCGGAAAAUAUUUAAAUGUUCAUAUCGUGACAACACGUUCACAGAAAAAAAAAAUCAAAUACGCCAUGAAAAAAAAUGCACAAAAAAAAAACAAUACAAAUAAUAUAUGAAAUAUGCAAUAAAAUUUAUUCACGCAGUGAUUCAUUAAAAAUGCAUCAAAAAAA